GAUAAAUAUAAAAUAUAAUAUUAUUUCCAUAAUCUCUCGCCCAACUCGGUGGCUACACAUCGAUAACAAAACUGAAAACAAUAGUCAAUGAUAAUCAAUGGCCGAGUAGUACCCGAGUUUUAUUUUGAAUUAAAAAAAAAAAAAAUAAUAAAUGUGUAAGUCUUCUGUUACUACUACAAUCACCAUACAUAAAAAGUAAAACAGAGAUAGACAAUAUUUACAAAUAUCAGACGAAUGGGCAUAAUAUCAAUAAUUAGAUUAUUUAUUAUGUUGACACUGACUAUUUAGAUAAGAAAAGUAGCGACGCGUGGAACAACUGUGGAAGUCGAUAACCGGCAGCAGCUGUUAAACGCAAUUAAACAACGUUGAUAAAUCACUAUUAACAUUCGUUAUGAAAAAUAUCAAAUCGGCUCCGGACACGGUGAUAAAAAUAAUAGGACUUCUGCCGUGCGCUAAGUGUAGUGUUACGAAUCGUUAAAAAUUAUACCUAUGGAAAACCGACGGAGAAAACGGUCGUCUUGAAAAAAAUCACGUCAAUUUAAUGGGUCAUCGUUAUUGGGUUAUCGGCCGAUGUUAUUAUUAUAUUAUAUCAUUAUGACCGAGAGCCAAACAACAGCGAGAAGCCAGGAGAACGCCGACGAGAGAGGUUUUGUUUACGAUUUAAUUGCGUAAAUGCACGCGCGGUCAACAUUUGCCAUUUGAAAAGACACUAUUGUUACGCAUCGGCGUUAUUAUUAUAUUUUUUUUAAAAUAAUAAAAUGUUUUGAAAAUUGUGCUACGAUAGCCUA